UACGUAGGGUGCGAGCGUUAAUCGGAAUUAUUGGGCGUAAAGCGUGUGCAGGCGGUUCUCCAAGUCUGCUGUGAAAGCCCCGGGCUCAACCUGGGGAUGGCAGUGGAAACUAGGGGACUGGAAUCUGGCAGAGGGGAGUGGAAUGCCGCGUGUAGCAGUGAAAUGCGUAGAGAUGCGGCGGAACACCGAUGGCGAAGGCAGCCCCCUGGGCUGAGAUUGACGCUCAGGCGCGAAAGCGUGGGGAGCAAACAGG
rnacentral:rRNA from 1 species